AUUUAAAUAGCUUACAUUUAGAGUUUAACAUUGAAGCUGUUAAGGUGGAAUUUUCCUUUAAAUA
rnacentral:tRNA from 1 species